rnacentral:rRNA from 1 species
GACGAACGCUGGCGGCGUGCUUAACACAUGCAAGUCGAACGGAAAGGCCCUGCUUUUGUGGGGUGCUCGAGUGGCGAACGGGUGAGUAACACGUGAGUAACCUGCCCUUGACUUUGGGAUAACUUCAGGAAACUGGGGCUAAUACCGGAUAGGAGCUCCUGCUGCAUGGUGGGGGUUGGAAAGUUUCGGCGGUUGGGGAUGGACUCGCGGCUUAUCAGCUUGUUGGUGGGGUAGUGGCUUACCAAGGCUUUGACGGGUAGCCGGCCUGAGAGGGUGACCGGCCGCAUUGGGACUGAGAUACGGCCCAGACUCCUACGGGAGGCAGCAGUGGGGAAUAUUGCACAAUGGGCGGAAGCCUGAUGCAGCAACGCCGCGUGCGGGAUGACGGCCUUCGGGUUGUAAACCGCUUUCGCCUGUGACGAAGCGUGAGUGACGGUAAUGGGCAAAGAAGCACCGGCUAACUACGUG